GAUGAACGCUGGCGGCGUGCUUAACACAUGCAAGUCGAACGGAAAGGCUCCUGCUUGCAGGGGUACUCGAGUGGCGAACGGGUGAGUAACACGUGGGUGAUCUGCCCUGCACUUCGGGAUAAGCCUGGGAAACUGGGUCUCAUAUCGGAGAGGAUCUCUUGUAGGAUGGUGUGCUGGAAAGAUUUGCGGUGUGGGUUGAGCUCGCGGCCUAUCACGUGGUUGGUGAGGUAAUGGCUUACCAAGGGGGUGACGGGUAGCCGGCCUGAGAGGGUGGACGGGGUCAAUAGGACUAAGAGACGGCGCAGACGGCAACGGGAGGCAGCGGGCGAGAGUAUUGCACAGCGGGGGCGAGCGAGAUGCGGAGACGCUGGGUGGGUGAUGACGUGCUACGGGUGAUGAACACAUGUCGAUAGAGACGAAGAGCAAGUGACGGUACCUAGAGAAGAAGCACCGGCUAACUACGUG
rnacentral:rRNA from 1 species